AGGAACAUGUGGUUUAAUUCGAUGAUACGCGAGGAACCUUACCUGGGCUUAAAUGGGGAGUGACAGCUGUCGAAAGAUGGUUUUCUUCGGACACUCUUCAAGGUGCUGCAUGGUUGUCGUCAGCUCGUGCCGUGAGGUGUCGGGUUAAGUCCCAUAACGAGCGCAACCCUUACCGUUAGUUACCAUCAGGUUAAGCUGGGGACUCUAGCGGGACUGCCACCGUAAGGUGAGAGGAAGGUGGGGAUGACGUCAAAUCAGCACGGCCCUUAUGGUCCAGGGCUACACACGUGUUACAAUGGCCGGUACAAAGGGCAGCUACUUCGCGAGAAGAUGCUAAUCUCGAAAGCCGGUCUCAGUUCGGAUCGAAGUCUGCAACCCGACUUCGUGAAGCUGGAUUCGCUAGUAAUCGCGCAUCAGCCAUGGCGCGGUGAAUACGUUCCCGGGCCUU
rnacentral:rRNA from 1 species